GCACACAGUAUAAAAAUAUAAUUUGGUCAGUCAUAUAAAAACAUGGAAUAGUUUGCAUGUUGUCUUUCUGCAGAGUCCAUUGCUAAUCUUUUCUAUAUCAUUUCAAUUUUGAUACGCGUACUGUCGAAGCAAGCACCUUCAUCCAUUUUCUUGCAACUAUAUUGCUUAUUUCCUAAGAAUGUAUGGACAGGAAACAUCAUGUAGAUGAACUAAAUCCUUAUCUGGUAUCUUUUUUCUGCUCAUCUAAACUAGAUUCUUUAUAGCCUAAAUAAAACCAAAUUGGUCUUACAUGUUUUUUUUCCCCCUUUCUUUAUCUGAUCCAGCUUAAACAAUUAGGAUAUGGACAUAGUAGCUAUAAGAGGGAAGAGAAAAAGGGGGGAGAAAAAGUUUGCUUUUUUUCUUGGAAGAAACCACCGAUGCAAGUGAAAAUGGUUACACUUAUUCUAGAUUAUAUAUAUGUAUAUAUAGUGUAUCCUUUGAGGUGGGAGUUUGGGGGGAAUCUUGUACAGCAAAUCAUAUUCCCAUUGUUAAUUUCAAACCUUUUUUAUAUUGAUACUUUUAUUUGUAAAAUACAUUGCUCAUGCUGAAGAUAUUUUCACACUGUUAAAUUUCUAUAUAGUUUUUGUUAUUGUAAGUUUCUAUUUUGUUUUGUUUUUUACCACUGAGCUACAUACCCAGUUCUUUUUAUUUUUAAGACAGAGAGAGUCUCACUAAAUUGCUGAGGCUGGCCUUGAAACUGCAAUCCUCUUCCUUCCGGCUAAAUUUCUAAAAAGGUUUUAAAGUCUUAUUCUCAAUUUCUUACAUUAUUGUGGAAUGGUAAGUGUACCUAAUGACCUCAAUUUACAGCCACAUUUUGAACAAUACUAUUUAAAUAUUUUCUAGAGUAGAUAAUAAUACAAGAUGUUUCUGGCAUGUCACAGCUGGAACUUAGAAUUUGGAAUCACAUUUCCCAGAAAAACAGUGUAAAUACUGUUAAUAUCACAGUGUAAAAUGGGCCAUGAACCCUGACCUUCAAAAACUAUUACUCUAGGAGGACAUUCUUAUCCUUUACAAAAAGCAUUUAUUAAGUGUCUUUCUGUAAGACACUGCUAGGGACACCAAUAAAAUAUAAAGAUUUCAAAAGAAUGUGUAUGCAGGAAUAGUGACAGUAAUAAAUAAAAGUGUUUAUAAAGUAAAGAUGUUAUACUUAAGUUUUGGAUCGGUGGGCUUGGUGUCUUGGUAAAAUGAGAGAAUACUGGAUCUGUUAUUUUAUGCAAACUUCACAACCUUAACAGAGGUAAUUGUACUCAUAGGUAUCAGGUCACAACUAAGAACUGAACCAGAAGUGAAAUUGGAAUUUUCUGGUUCUUUUAUCAUUCUAUUUUCUCAUGUAAAGCUUUAAUGAAGAUAAUAAGAAAUGAAACCAUAUUAUAGGCAGUGAUUAGACAAUGGAUUUGGUAGUUGGGUACUAAUUAGAAAAUUGCAGCCAGGUGUGGUGGCUCACGCCUGUAAUCCCUGUGACUGGAGAGGCUGAAGCAGGAGGAUCGAGAGUUCAAAGCCAGCCUUAGCAAUAGGGAGGCACCAAGCAACUCAGACACUCUGUCUCUAAAUAAAAUACAAAAUAGGGCUGGAGAUGUGGCUCAAUGGUUGAGUGCCCCUGAGUUCAGUCCCCGGUACCAAGAAAAAAAAAGUUGUAGAAAAGGAAUUUUAAAUACAAGAAAAUGAAAAUAUUAAAAGUAAAAUUAGUAGCACACUUGCCUGGCAUGUGUGAGGCACUGGGUUCGAUUCUCAGCACCACAUAUAAAUAAAUAAAAUAAAGAUCUAUCAACAAAUAAAAAAAAAAGGAAAGAAAAUUUGCAGAAAGGAAGAAAAUGGUGUUUUCAGAAAAUUAAUCUGCAUGAGGAUUUGCGUUCAAUCUUCCAACGUAAAGAAAAAGGAAAGAUUAACUUGGCCUUGUAUAUAGGUUUAAUUGAACCAACUAAGAGUUGGCUAGAGUUGUAAUGGAUUAUCUUCUAACGUGUGGAAGUUAUAGAAUGUUUCUUUUAGCUAUAUUUUGGAGUUUUCACUACUUUUUAAGGAAAUAUUUUUGAAAUUACUUUUUUUUAGUACUGGGGAUCAAACCCAGGGGCACUUAAC
rnacentral:lncRNA from 1 species